UACGGAGGUGGCGAGCGUUACUCGGAUUUACUGGGUGUAAAGGGCACGUAGGCGGUCCGAUAAGCCCUGUUUGAAAUGCCUGGGCUCAACCUUGGCACGUGGCAGGGGACUGACGGACUUGAGGAUGGCAGAGGUAGGCGGAAUUCCCGGUGUAAGGGUGAAAUCUGUAGAGAUCGGGAGGAACACCAGUGGCGAAAGCGGCCUACUGGGCCAUUUCUGACGCUGAGGUGCGAAAGCUAGGGGAGCAAACAGG
rnacentral:rRNA from 1 species